UGGGGAAUCUUAGACAAUGGGGGAAACCCUGAUCUAGCCAUGCCGCGUGAGCGAUGAAGGCCUUAGGGUUGUAAAGCUCUUUCAGCUGGGAAGAUAAUGACGGUACCAGCAGAAGCAAGCCCGGCUAACUCCGUGCCAGCAGCCGCGGUAAUACGGAGGGGGCUAGCGUUGUUCGGAAUUACUGGGCGUAAAGCGCACGUAGGCGGAUUAGUCAGUCAGAGGUGAAAUCCCAGGGCUCAACCCUGGAACUGCCUUUGAUACUGCUAGUCUUGAGGUCGAGAGAGGUGAGUGGAAUUCCGAGUGUAGAGGUGAAAUUCGUAGAUAUUCGGAGGAACACCAGUGGCGAAGGCGGCUCACUGGCUCGAUACUGACGCUGAGGUGCGAAAGCGGUGGGGAGCAAACAGGAUUAGAUACCCUGGUAGUCCACGCCGUAAACGAUGAAUGCCAGUC
rnacentral:rRNA from 1 species